rnacentral:rRNA from 1 species
UGGGGAAUCUUCCGCAAUGGACGAAAGUCUGACGGAGCAACGCCGCGUGUAUGAUGAAGGUCUUCGGAUUGUAAAGUACUGUCAUUGGGGGAAGAACGGUUUUCUUGAAAAGAUUGAGAAGACAUGACGGUACCCAAGGAGGAAGCCCCGGCUAACUACGUGCCAGCAGCCGCGGUAAUACGUAGGGGGCAAGCGUUGUCCGGAAUUAUUGGGCGUAAAGGGGCGCGUAGGCGGGCCUUUAAGUCCGGUGUGAAAGAUCAGGGCUCAACCCUGAGAGUGCAUCGGAAACUGGAGGCCUUGAGGACAGGAGAGGAAAAGUGGAAUUCCACGUGUAGCGGUGAAAUGCGUAGAUAUGUGGAGGAACACCAGUGGCGAAAGGCGACUUUCUGGACUGUAACUGACGCUGAGGCGCGAAAGCGUGGGGAGCAAACAGGAUUAGAUACCCUGGUAGUCCACGCCGUAAACGAUGAGUGCUAGGUGUAGAGGGUAUCGACCCCUUCUGUGCCGCAGUUAACACAAUAAGCANUCCGCCUGGGGAGUACGGCCGCAAGGUUGAAACUCAAAAUGAAUUGACGGGGGUCAUAGCUGUUUUCCU